UUUUCCCCCUUUCUCCUACACCUUGUUCCUCCUCUUCUUUUCAAUAACCUUCUGAGUCCAUUUAGUCCUGCUAGUGUGUGGUUACAGAGCCAUUCACUAGAACAUGGGCAGUCUACAAGGGACCACAUCCUUGAAGAAAACUUAUUCCCUCCUCAGCAGGUAUCAGUUAUCAAUUAAUUGCAUGCCAGUUAAGAUUGGAGCCUUUUGAGCAUGCCUUGUACUUAUACUGGAAUGUUGACUGGCUUCAUUUUGUAUAAUUCUUGUACUGGCAACCACAACUACUGUAAGUUCACUAGUGUAGGAGUCCUGUCAUAUUUAGAAGAUACCAUUUCACAACAGUCCUUCCAAUGUUCUACCAAAUUCUCAAAGAUUACUUUAAAAAGUUGACUUUCUCAGUUUUUCUCUAUACUUACAGUCAUUUAAAGUAAUGUAGGUAGAAUUCUUCCUUCUUUCUGUGAGUGACAUCUUCUGCUACAUGAUUGCAGAACUAGAAUAAUCUGUAUUUGGAAUCUAGCUCCUCAAUGGUCUAUGUGAGCAGGAGAGGAAGCCAAAACAAGCAAGAACACUUAUGGCCAGUAUCUGUGCUAGGACUACCUGGUGGCAAAGUAGAACAUCAUGGUCUUUGAAAGAAACUCUGCUGGGAGUUUGGAAUUCAUUCAUCUUUGCCUCUGAAGUUUCAAAGGAAAAAUCUCUCCUUGUCAAAGCUCCAGAACAAAAAAUAAAUGGCAUGUUCUUCUAUCCCAGAGCAAAAUAGCCUGAAGGGAAAUGGCAACAGCUGAGAAAAAGCAUCUUGUGCAGUUUUUGCUAGACAUACAUUCUGACACUGACCUUGCUUCUUACUCCCAUUGUGUCUCCCUCAGCCAGUGAUUUAAUUCCUCCUUCUCAUUAUGGACCAUGUGAAAUGUUUCUGUAUUUACCAAUGAUUAUGAAAAAACAGUUGUGGUUGUCAUGGUUUGAGUCUGAAGUGUUGUCAUAGGCUUAUUUUCUUAAUACCUACAUGUUCACAUUGUUUUGAAAGGCUCUGGAUUGUUUUGGCAUGGCAGACAUAGGUCAGAAUGGAGCUAGGAGGCAGGUCCUAGCCCAUUUCAUCCCUGCCAGCUUUCCUUUGUUUCCACUGUUUUUAUUCUAUCAUGACACAAGUGGCUUCCACCACGUUUCUGCCAUCAUGGUUUGAGAAGUCCCACCAAAGCCUUUCCCGUGAGGAUGGCCUGGAAGCCUCUGAAACCAUGGGUGCAAAUAAAUCCUCUCUCAAGUCCCUUCUGUCAAGUGUUGUUAUCAUAGUGACAAAAAAGUAACUGGUACAAAGCUGUACACUAAAAUGUUUCUGAUCUCUCCACCUAAACACCCAAGCAUGCACACAUGCACAAAGUGAGUGGAAGAGAAAGUGGGACAAGAAGGCGGGAAGUUAGUGGCAGCAUGGAACUGACUCUGGCUUAUCACAUAAUUGAGACUUAUUCCAGUUGCUUUAACAACUUCCCUUUCCCCUUCUCUUAGUCCCUGGAAACUAUAAUCCUACUCUUUAAUUCCAUGAGUUAGAAUUUAUAGAAAUCUCAUGCAAGUGUAGUCAUAUAGUAUGUGUCCUUCUGUGACUAGACAUUUUUAUUUCAACAGGUUAAUAUUAUCCAGGUUCAUCCAUGUUAUUACAAACUUCAGCAUUCUCUUCUUUUAGAACUAUUGUAUUAUCCUCAACUGAACUUCUAGAUAUUUUUCACAAAGAAUUAACAUCUGGAUCUCCAGUAGGUAAUAGCAUGUCAUUGUUCUCUGCAACUCCAUUUGCAAUAGUAGAAGUGGAAACACCAUAAAUAUCUAUCCAUAACAUGAAUAAAUAAAGUAAAAAUAUAGAGAUAGAGAUAGAGAUAGAUAUGUGAGCAUACCAUAGAAUGUUGUUUAGUCUUUUAAUAUUUGUAAAUCGUCAUUUAAAUCAAUAUAGAAUCAGGGAUUUAUUUUAUUUUAAAUAAUAUUUUUCAUUUAUUUUACAUAACUAUCAUAGUUUCUCCUCCCUCCUCUUCUCCCAGUCCUCCAUCCCCACCCACUUACCUCCCAACCCCAACCACCGCCCACCACCGCCACCCAAGGCUGCUCACUUUCCAUUUAUCCCCCUCCUCUUCCACUCCUCCACUGUCUACAGUCAAUAAGUGACAGGCCUCCCAUGGGCUUGAGCAAAGCAUGGCAUAUCAAGUUGUUGAGGCAGGACUGAGCUCCUUCCCUUGCAUUAAGAUUAGGCAACGUAAUCUGAUACGGGAAACAGAUUGCCAAAAUACAGCUGGGCUCCAGGGACAGCUAUUCAACUCACUGGUAAGAGCCCUACAAAGAGAACAGGCUGUACAAUUGUCACAUGUAUGUCUUCCCAUGGAAGCUCCCUAAAUGUUGGUCCAGAGUUCAUGAGUUCUCGGGAACUCAGGUCAGCUAUGUCUGUGGGUUCUCCUAUCAUGAUCCCCCUGGCUCAUACAGUCCCUCCUCUCUUUCUUCAGUGAGAUUCCCAGAGCUCAACCCAGUGCUUGGCUGUGGAUCUCUGAAUCUGCUCCCAUCGGUUACUGGACAAAAUAUCUCUGAUGACAAUUAGGGUAGUCACCAAUCUGAUUACAGUCGAUGGCCAGUUCAGGCACCCUCUCCACUAUUACUAGGAGUUUUUGCUGGUGUUAUUUUAAAUAAUGUCCCAACAUUUAAAAAUAAAAUAUUGCUCACUCUUACAAUGUAGAUUUCCAGCCUUGUCUUUGCAGUUUGGCAGCUUUACAGAACUGCCCUACAUUCCACUACAGGGAUAGCCCAUGAAGCUGAGGAGGAAUGGUCUCUUAAAACUAGGGUCCACUGUUGAAUUCAAGGGUCUCCAGCUUUCAAAUGGACACAGGUAAAUCACUUGUCCAGAUGGGUUCUCUCCAUGAUACUAAAACACAAAGGGAAAAGCAACUGCAGGAACUCUAGCUCAAACCAAACUGUGACUUCAAGAUUGAUGUAGAUGCUUAGACUCUCUCAAAAUAAGCAAUGAAUUACACAGUGGACAGUAUAACAACACACACUUGUAUAUAUUUUUAAAGUGUUAGUGAAAAAUAGCUAUAUUAGUCAGGUAUUACUAUUGUUUCAGAAUGAACUUUAAUCUUAGAUGAACUGAAUGUCCAGAGAAAUUUGCCUGUUUGAAUAAAUAUCAGUGUUAUUGUAUGCAUUACCUUGAGAUAAAGUCUCAAUGAUGUUGAAAAAGAGCCAGAAAAGUCAUAUACACAUCUUUGGGAAACCAGUAGAAAUGUAAAAUGAUCUCCUGGCUUCAAAUAUGCCUCUAGUCUUAUUUCAUAUUUUAUAAUGAAAAUCAACAGCCCCAACUUACCAAGAUCAUUUUGUUUGAAUGAUUUCUAUGAAAUCUCUUCCUCUGCAGAGGACCUGGGUCUCAUUCUCAGCAUUGACAAAGAGGCUCACAACCAGAUUUAUCUUCAAUCCCAAAGGAUCAUGUGCCCUUCUGGUAGUCCUGUACACUGAAUGCAUGUAGUGCAUGACACACAUGCAGGUAAAACAACCAUAAAUUAAAACCAAGGGGAAAAUGUUUUUAAAGAAAGAAAAUGAAACUUUGUAGACAUAUACCCUGUUCAAGAUUUUUCUAAUGUCUAAAAAUAUGUUUUUAGCCUUAAAUAUUGACUUGAUUUUUUAGCCUUAAAAAUUAUUGAUUUGAAGAAAAUUAGAGCUCCCCCAAGACACAGAUAAUAGGUAUGUGCAGAACAAAAGUUAAUGCACAGACAAUAGGUAUGUGCAAAACCCUCAGAUUCUCACAGCAACUCAUUGGUAAUAUUAAUCAAAAAAUUUUGUCUUCUGGUGUUCUGGUUUUGAAAAGUGAUCUUAUACAAACAAGAUAUGGUUAUCAGUGAAUAUACACACACAUGCUUUUAUGCCAAUAAUUUUACGUGUCAAUUUUAGAUGUGGGGGGGCAUUAUAGAUACCAGAAUUGUACCAAUAAGGAUUAGCUUGAUUCACACAAUUAAUCCUCACUGGAGACUCAUCACUCUGCUCACCCACCACACAUUUUCCACUCUCCACUUCAACUCUUAAUAAUUUAACUUUCUUGCCUGUCAUUUAAUGACAUAUCAUCACCCAGAAUAUUAAAUUAAUGGUCUGUGUAACCAAAGGGUCUCUCCUCAGAACCUCAAAAAGGUAGAUUGUUAGAAAACUGAGUUAUGAAACAUUAUGCAUCCAACUCAAAGCUCUGUAAGAUUUUGGUUUACAAAGUAAUUCUGAAAGGUUAUAUUUUUGUUGAGACAAUUUUGAUGUCUCAAAUAAGUUUUGGGCUUUCUUAAAAUGAACUGAGUUUAUCUGGAAGGAAGGUCACAGGAACCUCACUCCUUGAAAGGCUAAUAUGACAGCCAUGCUUGCCACAGGGCUUUUGCUCUGGGAUUAGAUGCAUAUGCUGCUGAGACAAACAGAGCAUUGCUUGGUUUUACUUACUGAAAUUGUUGGUUUAAAAAAAAACAACAACAGUGCAAUUAGGAUAUGUUACAAGCAGUACAAAAUAAAUAUUUUCCAUGUCCUAAGAUAACAAAGGAAUUAAUAAUAGGAAUUUGGGGUCUGAGGCUGAGAAGGUGGCUCAGUGAGUAACAAAGACCUCAGUUUGGAUCCCCAGCACCCAAGUUAAAAACUGGGCAUGGUUACAUGUGCCUGUAAGCUCAGCACUGCAGAAUCAGGGACAGGCAGGUUAAGGGGCUCACUAGCCAGUCAGUCUAGCCAAAAUGGUAGUGUCCAGGAUCAGUGAGAGAUCUUGUCACAAGCAGUACAAUAGAAAAACGACAAAGGAAGAUAUCCUCUGGCCUUGGCAGGGAUGACACAGGUGAAUGCAGGCACAUGUGCACACACACACACACACACACGCACAGACACACACACACACACACACACACACACACACACACAGUUGAGGUCCCAUCAGAGAUACCAGUGUGAUUUUCUAAAGAAGAGAGGUCAUAGAGUCCCUUGCUCAUAGAGUCCCCUAUUCUGUUAGUGUUGAAACACUGUCAUCCCAAACACAUGGACACCUCAAUAUCACAGGGGCUAAGCUGUCCUAAUUAUUAUGCAGUUGGAGGAAAUGAAUGGAAACCACACUGGAAAAGAAAGAUAAUUUAUUUUGAGUCCAUGGGAAAUUUCCAUUAUCUCUUGGGAAAGAAUUGCUUAGGAAAACAAAUGAAAUUGAAUAUGGUUGCUUUGUGAUAUAAGUUUAAUUUAUAUCUAUAAUUUAAUUGACUGACUUAAAAGCUGAUUCAGGCACUUAGGCACACAAUUCAGAGAGCAAUUGGUCACUUUUCUCUUAUUAUCCUUGUUCCAAGCAAGAUGCUACUUGGGGUUCCUAAGUCUUCCCUUUAUACCUUGUCUAGUUCAUUUGGUAUUUGUAUUUUAUAGAAUAAUUGCCUAUAAUUAGCAAACCCUGAUGAAAGCAUUAUGAUUAGCUAAAGCAGAUUCAUUUCCACUUCAUCAGUUUGGUUCACUUGACUCUGUACUCAAUACUCCUUUUUAACCACUGGCUUCUUUAUUUAAAUAAAUUAAAAGAAGCAUCAAAAUAUCUUCUCUAUGCCCAUGGCAGAAGGGGCAAAUCUGGGGUGUUUCAGGGUUAUGUUUUGAUCUAUUUGUGGGUCCUUCUAAGUACCUAUAAAUUUAUUUAUGCUAAGAACAUUUUUAGACUUGAGCUUUGUGUUCAAUGUGAAUUCAAAGGAAGUUGAAGCAGAACAUUUCUCUCUCAUUGAAGUAUCAAGUAUCAAAAUGGUAUUUGAUGUCCAAGGAACUUGUAAAGCCCUCAUUUUCCUUUGAGCAAAGAAGGUCAUAAUUUUCCACAGUCUAAAAGCAUUUGAAGUCCCAGUUUCUGUUUUUUCCCGCAAAUGCCCCCCCCCUUACUAUAACUGUUUCCGUUCUAGUUCUCCUCUCUUUCUAUCCCAACAUUCCUUGAAUCUCCUCACUAAAGUCACCCUGUAGUUUCACAUGCUCUCACUCUCCAGGGAAGAGACGGAAUCAGAAUGUGGAUGCAACACUGGGGAUUUACAUGGGGAUUGGUUGGAUGCAACACUGACCUUGAGGAAGAUAAAGCACCAAGAUAUGAGCUCGAUUACAGGCAUGGGGAUGGGGGAUGGGGAAUGGUGGUUCAGUUAAACUCCCUCACAUGUCCUCUAAAGGGUUCUUUCAUGUAGACUAUGAUGAAAACAGCAUUUGUUUGUUUUUUCUUAUCUGUCCCUUUACGGCAUGGUGACUUUACAUGGUAAUUAAGAAAGUCAUGAUGAUAAUGGUUAGGACAUUUUCAGAGCUGAAAACAAAACCACUUUGAGUUUAUUCUUCUUUGUAUUACCAUUAAUUCCUGCAUCUACCAAGAAGACCAGAAAUGAAUAGUUUAGUCACCUCUGUCUUGCAAUGUGUUUUUUAUAUUGUUUGAGACAAGUUCUCUCUGCAUACCCAUGGCUGACCUGGAACUCACAAUAUAAAUCAGGCUGACCAUAAACUCAAAGCAGCCUUCCUGCCUAUGCCUCCCAAGUGUUAGAACUACCUGUACACCCACCCUUACACAGGAUUGUGUACACACACACAUACACACACACUCAUGCACACAUGCACAAUCUCACACUUUCUCCCAAAAUACAGUUUAAUCAUUCCAGCAGUCAUCUUUCAGCAGUUAUAAUGACACUGAGUUGCUUUAAGAUACUUUCUCUAUAAAGGAGACACAUAUAUAGUGGUUGCUGGAGUUUUCUUGUACUGCCAGGUCCCACCACCCUUGAGCCCUAAAUAAACACAUAGGCGCUAUAUUAAUUAUAAAACUAUUGACUAAUGGCUAUGGAUUCUUAUUGAUUAGCUCUGUCUUAAUUAUUAACCAAUAACUACUAAUACAUGUAUUUCUACAUGGCCUUAUCUUACCAGAGAACACCUGGUGUGUACUAUCCUCCUGGUCCCUCUAUGGCGUCUCCCUGUGGUCCUUAUCUGUCUACAAUUCCCAGAAUUCUCCGCAUCUCCUAGUUCCAUCUAACGUCCUGCCUCUAAUGGCCAAACAAUGUUUUAUUCAUCAAUAAUUAAGAGAAAGAUAUAUACAGAAGGAUACCCCAAUCAUUCUGAGAAAGGGAACGAGGAGAUUAAAAAACUCCAGUGAUAAGUUGGGUUCAAUGGUUUGUAUCCCAUCCCUGUGGCUGGUUUGCCUUUCCACUGCUCAUACAUUUCCACACUUCAGCAGAAGCUUCAUGAUCAGUGAAAACAUUCACAAUUUUGGCCUUACAAUGAUUGGUUAAAUUGAUGCAGCCCUGAGAAAUUAUGUAAACCAACUCAAAGGCUUGAUUGUAAACCAUGACUGCUAUUGUAACCAGUUUGGUUUCCUUCCCUCUGUACUGUGACUCAUUUUGUUUCUCUCCUUAUGGUGAAAUAAACCUGAAUCUAAAUCUG